ACAGCAGCAGCCGCGGGAAUACGAAGGGUGCAAGCGUUACUCGGAAUUACUGGGCGUAAAGCGUGCGUAGGUGGUGGUUUAAGUCCGUUGUGAAAGCCCUGGGCUCAACCUGGGAAUUGCAGUGGAUACUGGGUCACUAGAGUGUGGUAGAGGAUAGUGGAAUUUCCGGUGUAGCAGUGAAAUGCGUAGAGAUCGGAAGGAACAUCUGUGGCGAAGGCGACUAUCUGGGCCAUUACUGACACUGAGGCACGAAAGCGUGGGGAGCAAACAGGAUUAGAUACCCGUGUAGUCCCUGUCUCUUAUAC
rnacentral:rRNA from 1 species